UUGCUUCAGAUUUCUUGGCUUGGCUUUUAAAGUGGUAGUUGACUAGUGGGUGUUGGCUGCAGAUAGCAGUCUCUUAUCUUUGUGUCUGCAUCCUGUUCCUUGCUUAUAUGGCUUGCCCUAAAGUACCUUGGAGACAGCC